rnacentral:lncRNA from 1 species
AGAAAACUAAAACCAUGGAAAAGCAUCUUACUACUGCUACCGCUUGCAGCUGCUGUUAACGCAAUUGCUACAGCCUACUCCUCCCCUAUAAGGGAGUGUGGCCUAACACAUCAUGUUCUACAGACAAGAGGAAAUUGGCAUUUAAAGCAGCACGUGCCCGUAUCCAUUUGCCUGCAAGGUCCAUCAGUCCCUCUGCAGUCAGUGGGGCAGGUCAUGACCCGAUCAGCCUGUCAGCCUGACCUUACACUUCAGAGUUCACAGUGCAGAGAGUUCUCUCAAUGACCAAGAGUGGACAGAAGGAUGCUGCCAUUGAGCAUUUCAACAUGCUCCCUCCCUUUCUUCAUGCCUUCUGUUUUUG